rnacentral:lncRNA from 1 species
UUGUACACUGCUGAGAAUUUAAACCCUCUCUUUCUAGCUAGGUUCCCAUGUACUUUGUAUUGCAUUGCAUCCCUUCAACUAGAUGAAAGAGUAUUUGUGUUGACAACAUGUGGUAACAACUAACAAGGUGAGUUUUUUCUGUCUGUUUGAAGCAUAACAACAGCUUGGUCCAUCACAGUAAGCAGUCAACAAAUCGGACUUACUUCACUUUGCGAAUGAUAUGGAAGACCGCUUCAUAUAGCACAAAUCAACAACUUCAUUUAGUUAUUCUCUUUUACUCUUUUCUGAAGGUUGCUUAGAUGGAUUAUGUUCC